rnacentral:rRNA from 1 species
CGGACGGGUGAGUAACGUGUGGGCAACCUGCCCUGCACUGGGGAAUAAUCAUUGGAAACGAUGACUAAUACCGCAUACGGUUCCUGGGAGGCAUCUUCCGGGAAAGGAAAGGAUUUAUUCGGUGCAGGAUGGGCCCGCAUCUGAUUAGCUAGUUGGUGAGAUAACGGCCCACCAAGGCGACGAUCAGUAGCCGACCUGAGAGGGUGACCGGCCACAUUGGGACUGAGACACGGCCCAAACUCCUACGGGAGGCAGCAG